rnacentral:rRNA from 1 species
GACGAACGCUGGCGGCGUGCCUAAUACAUGCAAGUAGAACGCUGAAGGAGGAGCUUGCUUCUCUGGAUGAGUUGCGAACGGGUGAGUAACGCGUAGGUAACCUGCCUGGUAGCGGGGGAUAACUAUUGGAAACGAUAGCUAAUACCGCAUAAUAGUAGAUGUUGCAUGACAUUUGCUUAAAAGGUGCAAUUGCAUCACUACCAGAUGGACCUGCGUUGUAUUAGCUAGUUGGUGGGGUAACGGCUCACCAAGGCGACGAUACAUAGCCGACCUGAGAGGGGGAUCGGCCACACUGGGACUGAGACACGGCCCAGACUCCUACGGGAGGCAGCAGUAGGGAAUCUUCGGCAAUGGACGGAAGUCUGACCGAGCAACGCCGCGUGAGUGAAGGAGGUUUUCGGAUCGUAAAGCUCUGUUGUAAGAGAAGAACGAGUGUGAGAGUGGAAAGUUCACACUGUGACGGUAUCUUACCAGAAAGGGACGGCUAACUACGUG